rnacentral:rRNA from 1 species
CUAGCUGUAAACGAUGGAUACUAGGCGUUGAGAGUAUCGACCCUCUCAGUGUCGUAGCUAACGCGUCAAGUAUCCCGCCUGGGGAGUACGCGCGCAAGCGUGAAACUCAAAGGAAUUGACGGGGGCCCGCACAAGCGGUGGAGUAUGUGGUUUAAUUCGAUGCAACGCGAAGAACCUUACCAGGGCUUGACAUGUCCGGAACCCUGCCCAAAGGCGGGGGUGCCUACGGGAACCGGAACACAGGUGGUGC